rnacentral:rRNA from 1 species
GUGUCAGCCGCCGCGGUAAUACGUAGGUGGCAAGCGUUGUCCGGAUUUAUUGGGCGUAAAGCGAGCGCAGGCGGUUUAAUAAGUCUGAAGUUAAAGGCAGUGGCUUAACCAUUGUUCGCUUUGGAAACUGUUAGACUUGAGUGCAGAAGGAGAGAGUGGAAUUCCAUGUGUAGCGGUGAAAUGCGUAGAUAUAUGGAGGAACACCGGUGGCGAAAGCGGCUCUCUGGUCUGUAACUGACGCUGAGGCUCGAAAGCGUGGGGAGCAAACAGGAUUAGAAACCCCGGUAGUCC